AUUGAACGCUGGCGGCAUGCCUUACACAUGCAAGUCGAACGGCAGCACGGGAGCAAUCCUGGUGGCGAGUGGCGAACGGGUGAGUAAUGCAUCGGAACGUGCCCAUUUGUGGGAGAUAACUACGCGAAAGCGUGGCUAAUACCGCAUACGCCCUGAGGGGGAAAGCGGGGGAUUCUUCGGAACCUCGCGCAAUUGGAGCGGCCGAUGUCAGAUUAGCUUGUUGGUGAGGUAAAGGCUCACCAAGGCGACGAUCUGUAGCGGGUCUGAGAGGAUGAUCCGCCACACUGGGACUGAGACACGGCCCAGACUCCUACGGGAGGCAGCAGUGGGGAAUUUUGGACAAUGGGGGCAACCCUGAUCCAGCCAUGCCGCGUGAGUGAAGAAGGCCUCGG
rnacentral:rRNA from 1 species